rnacentral:rRNA from 1 species
GACGAACGCUGGCGGCGUGCUUAACACAUGCAAGUCGAACGGAAAGGCCCUGCUUGCAGGGUACUCGAGUGGCGAACGGGUGAGUAACACGUGGGUGAUCUGCCCUGCACUUCGGGAUAAGCCUGGGAAACUGGGUCUAAUACCGGAUAGGAGCCAUUUUUAGUGUGAUGGUUGGAAAGUUUUUUCGGUGUAGGAUGAGCUCGCGGCCUAUCAGCUUGUUGGUGGGGUAAUGGCCUACCAAGGCGGCGACGGGUAGCCGGCCUGAGAGGGUGGACGGCCACCUUGGGACUGAGAUACGGCCCAGACUCCUCCGGGAGGCAGCAGUGGGGAAUAUUGCACAAUGGGCGCAAGCCUGAUGCAGCGCCGCCGCGUGGGGGAUGACGGCCUUCGGGUUGUAAACUCCUUUCGCUAGGGACGAAGCUUUUUGUGACGGUACCUAGAUAAGAAGCACCGGCUAACUACGUG